CGAACGUGGGUAACCUGCCCAUCAGAGGGGGAUAACAUUCGGAAACGGAUGCUAAAACCGCAUAGGUCUUCGAACCGCAUGGUUUGAAGAGGAAAAGAGGCGCAAGCUUCUGCUGAUGGAUGGACCCGCGGUGCAUUAGCUAGUUGGUGAGGUAACGGCUCACCAAGGCCGUGAUGCAUAGCCGACCUGAGAGGGUGAUCGACCACAUUGGGACUGAGACACGGCCCAA
rnacentral:rRNA from 1 species